rnacentral:rRNA from 1 species
GACGAACGCUGGCGGCGUGCUUAAUACAUGCAAGUCGAACGGAAAGGCCCUGCUCUUGUGGCUCGCUCGAGAGCCGAAGGCGUGUGUAACACACGAGUAUCCUGCCCCUGUCUUUGUGAUAACUCCAGGAAACUGGGGCUAAUGCCGGAUAUAAGCUCUUGCUCCAUAGGGGGGGUUGGAGAGUUACGGCGGUGCUGGAUAGACUGGCGGGUUAUCCGCUGGUUUGUGGGGUAGUGGCUUACCAAGGCUACGACGGGUAGCCGGCCUGAGAGAGUGGACGGCGACAUGGGUACUGCGAGACGGAGCAGACGGCUACGGGAGGCAGCAGUGGGGAAUAUGGCGCAAUGGGCGGAAGCCUGAGGCAGCAGCGCCGGGAGCGGGAUGACGGGCUUCGAGUUGUAAACCGCUUUCGCCUGUGACGAAGCGUGAGUGACGGUAAUGGGUAAAGAAGCACCGGCUAACUACGUG